GCCAUCCUGAAGGCUGUUCUAGACAGGCUGAGCCCCAGCUCCCACCUCUUCCCUGCCUCCGUGUGGGCAGAGUGGUUCCAGCAUCAGCUCCCCCUGCUCCUCCCGUUUGUGACGACAACCACCCUUGCCAGACUCAGCACCAAUAUCUCCUGUGACUCCUACCAUGCUGUAGUGAAGGGAUUCAGUGAAGUUUAUGAAUCUCUCUCAGCCACAGCAAGAAGGGACAUCUAUAAUGAGUACAUGAGGAAAUAUUUGUUACAACAAACUGGCUCCACAGCAGGAUCAGUCUGCCCAGGAAACACAAGUAGGUCAGAUAACUGGCUGGCCAAGAACUUGGGCAAGUUUUCAUCCAAUGCUCCCUUCAGGGAUCUGGACACAUUCUACCCCAAUAUUACUUCGGGGAUUGAAGCCUUCACAGACCUCCUUUCAGAGGAAACCUUUCAGACAUUAGGAGGCUUGGCUGUUGGGUUAACACCAUCUGUGAUCCUGAAUAAGGCAGAUGGUCAGAUGCUGAAUAGGACACUCUCAGUUUUGUCUACCAUCACUGACUGGAGCCCUGCCCAGGCUUCUAUCAUUAUGAAGAAGCUCCUUCAAAAUGGACUUCAGCUCACACAAGCUAGAGAUGUACUAGCCCUGGGAACCCUGGUAUCUGGACUCCCCUCUGGUGAUGUGAGCCAGCUGACUGAUAAUGCCAUCCUUGAGCUUGCAGCAGAUGAGAAUUUCAUCAACAUCCUCCAAGAGGCCCCAGAGUCCCUACAACAUGUAUUUGUACAUAGGAUCUUACAAAGUAAUGAAGGAAAAACUGUUCCCAGUAUUCCAGCUGGUCUGGCCUCCCAGAUCCCCAUGUCUCAGCUGCUCUCCUCCCAGAUGGAUAUUAAUGAGAUCAACAAAAUGCUGUGGACACCUGCCCAGGUAAUUUCCAUCAAUGUGACUAUCCUUUGAGAGGUAGAUAUGGAGAUGGGAGGGAA
rnacentral:lncRNA from 1 species